AUGAGUCCGGGCAGUGGUACUACUGGCUGGACAUGUAUGUUGUGGCGUGUAAGGCUACACUCAGCCUUCCGAACCAUCUUAGCCUGCUCAAUGAUCUACCUCACCACCCUCUAUGCCCCGAAAACUCUCAAACAAUUGGUAGCAUACCCAGCCUAUUCUUACCUGACAACAAUCUUAACAGUCUCAGCAGACUCAACCCUUGGUGAUGCCUUGAAAGGCUUCUGGCAUGCCCUGUAUGCUUGUGCUCAGGUUCUAACUCUGUCAAUUUUUAGCCUCCAGCUGAUUGGGCCCGCGCACUUCACCUCUCAUGUGAUUGCAGCCUUGGCAGUGGCUGUGUCUGCGUUUGUUGUGGCAUUACCAGAAGGAACAGACUUGAUGUGUAAGCGGAUUGCGUUUGGGCAGAUUGUGAUAGUCUAUGUGGGCACUGCUGUUCAUAGUAGUACUUCACAGCCGAAUCAUGAUCAGUAUGAUAUGGUACUCACGCACCCAAUUCAAGUGGCUUCAAGUACUGUGCUCGGAGCAUUGGCAUCUGUUCUGGCUAUGUUGUUUCCAAACCUGGUCUUCUACCAUGAAGCUUCUUUUCUUGCUAUGUUGUCUCCUCACCUUGGCUAUCACCAGGAAGCCUUGGUGUGGGAGAGACCGGAUAUCAGAAUCCUUAGACCAAGUUGCACUGAUUUGGAAAAGAAAUUGCAGGAUAUAGAAGUACCCUUGCGAGGAAUGGAAGUAGCUCUAAUUUGUUGCCCUUCAUUUCCUGUUGCCAUGAUUGAGAAAGUGCACAAAGAUGCUUUCACCGACCUAAAGAGUCAUAUGCCACAAGCUGAAAGGCUAUUGAAGAAUGCAAGCUGGACACUAAGAUUGAAAGUUUCAGUGGAUCCACAAAACCAAAGCAAUAUCAGUAUCAAAAGGAGCCGGAGCACUCUAGAUCACAUUAUACCAAGCAGAGCAAGUUUACUUUUUGCAAUCAAGUGCUCGCUUUCUCUAGGUCUUGCAGUGCUAUUUGGUUUGAUUUACAAUGAAAAAGAAGCGUAUUGGGCAGGACUCACAAUUGCAAUAAGUUUUGUCACAGGAAGACAAGCGACAUUUACACUUGCUAAUGCUCGAGCACAAUCAACAUCAAUGGGAUCAAUCUACGGAGUCUUGUGCUGUUUUCUUUUCCAAAAAUUUGAGGAUCUAAGCUUCUUGCCUCUGCUUCCUUGGUUACUAUUCACAAGUUUUUUAAGGCACAGUAGGAUGUAUGGUCAAGCUGGCAGGAUAUCAGCAGCUGUUGGGGCAUUACUAAUGCUUGGUAGGAAAAAUUAUGGCUCUCCCAUCGAUUUUGCUAUUGCUAGAAUCACAGAGGCUGUAAUUGGAUUGAUCUGUUUUGUCACCAUAGAGAUUCUCUCAUGUCCUGUAAGAGCAGCAACUCUAGCAAAACUUGGGAGCUCUUCAAGAAUGCAUCAAAGAAAUAGUUCCCUUUGACAAUAACCAAAGCAACCGGCAAGCUUCAAUCUUUCCAGCACUGAAACUGAAACAGGACAAGUUGAAAUCCCAUCUCGAUCAAUUGGAGAAGUUUGUUGUCGAAGCUGAGUUGGAGCCAAAUUUCUGGUUCAUCCCUUUCAAUGGCGCUUAUUAUCGGAAGCUCCUCAGGUCUGUAUCAAAAAUGAGGUACCUUUCACUUUUUAUGUCCAACAAAGUAGAAUCUCUAUCUGUGGUAAACCUGGCAUUUUAACCCGCUACCCGUUAACCGUCCGCCAACCGCCCGUUAAAAACCCGCCCAUUUCCGCCCCAUUAAGGUUCUAGGCCAACGGGCGACAACCCGUUAACAACCCGCUAACUAACAGGGCGGAAACGGGUUGCCCAACGGAACCCAUUUAACCCGUUAACGGAAAAAA